UUGGAGGGCAAGUCUGGUGCCAGCAGCCGCGGUAAUUCCAGCUCCAAUAGCGUAUAUUAAAGUUGUUGCAGUUAAAAAGCUCGUAGUUGAAUUUCGGGAUCAAUGUUUCGGUCAUGCCGUUGGUAUGUACUGAUAUUAUUGAUUUCUCACCUUCUAAAGAACCGUAAUGCCAUUAAUUUGGUGUCACGGGAAAUUAGGACUGUUACCUUGAAAAAAUUAGAGUGUUUAAAGCAGGCUCACGCUUGAAUACAUUAGCAUGGAAUAAUGAAAUAGGACAUCCGAUUCUAUUUUGUUGGUUUCUAGGAUCGAUGUAAUGAUUAAUAGGGAUAGUUGGGGGCAUUAGUAUUCAAUUGUCAGAGGUGAAAUUCUUGGAUUUAUUGAAGACUAACUACUGCGAAAGCAUUUGCCAAGGAUGUUUUCAUUAAUCAAGAACGAAAGUUAGGGGAUCGAAGACGAUCAGAUACCGUCGUAGUCUUAACCAUAAACUAUGCCGACUAGGGAUCGGAUGAUGUUAAUUUUUUAAUGACUCAUUCGGCGCCUUACGGGAAAC
rnacentral:rRNA from 1 species